CAUAAUGACAUUAAAAUCCUUUGCGGACUCUUCAACAACGACGCAAGAAAAAAUCUUCAUUGUGUUUUGCAUGCGCUGCCAAGCCAUUCUGUACAUGGCAAUGUUUCGCUACAAGAAGGACACAGCAAUAAAGUAUUCCCGGACUCUUAAUGAACAUUUCAAGAGUUCCUCUAGAAUUGCCCAAGCACCUUCUCCGUGUGUUGCAAGG